rnacentral:rRNA from 1 species
AGAGUUUGAUCCUGGCUCAGAACGAACGCCCGCGGCAUGCCUAAUACAUGCAAGUCGAACGCCUGUAGCAAUACAGGAGUGGCGGACGGGUGAGUAACGCGUGGGAACCUGCCCUUGAGUGCGGGAUAACCGAGGGAAACUUCGGCUAAUACCGCAUGUUCCUCAGCAAUGAGGGAAAGAUUUAUCGCUCGAGGAGGGGCCCGCGUCGGAUUAGCUAGUUGGUGGGGUAACGGCCUACCAAGGCGAUGAUCCGUAGCUGGUCUGAGAGGAUGAUCAGCCACACUGGGACUGAGACACGGCCCAGACUCCUACGGGAGGCAGCAGUAGGGAAUAUUGGACAAUGGGGGCAACCCUGAUCCAGCAAUGCCGCGUGAGUGAUGAAGGCCUUAGGGUUGUAAAGCUCUUUCGCGCGCGACGAUGAUGACGGUAGCGCGAGAAGAAGCCCCGGCUAACUUCGUGCCAGCAGCCGCGGUAAUACGAAGGGGGCGAGCGUUGUUCGGAAUUACUGGGCGUAAAGGGCGCGCAGGCGGCCAAACAAGUCAGGCGUGAAAGCCCCGGGCUUAACCUGGGAAUUGCGCUUGGGACUGUUAGGCUUGAGUACGGGAGAGGAGAGUGGAAUUCCCAGUGUAGAGGUGAAAUUCGUAGAUAUUGGGGAAGAACACCGGUGGCGAA